GACGAACGCUGGCGGCGUGCUUAACACAUGCAAGUCGAACGGAAAGGCCCUGCUUUUGUGGGGUGCUCGAGUGGCGAACGGGUGAGUAAAACGCGAGUAACCUCCCCUUGACUGUGGGAUAACUCCAGGAAACUGGGGCUAAUACCGGAUAGGAGCUCCUGCUGCACGGGGGGGGUUGGAAAGAUUCGGCGGUGGGGGAUGGACUCGCGGGUUAUCAGCUGGUUGGUGGGGUAGGGGUUUACCAAGGUUUUGACGGGUAGCCGGCCUGGGAGGGUGACCGGCCACAUUGGGCCUACGGUAGGGCCCAGAAUGCUACGGGAGGCAGCGGUGGGGAAUUUUGCACAAUGAGCGGGAGCCUGAUGCAGCAGCGCCCCGUGCGGGAUGACGGCCUUCGGGUUGUAAACCGCUUUCGCAUGUGACGAAGCGUGAGUGACGGUAAUGGGUAAAGAAGCACCGGCUAACUACGUG
rnacentral:rRNA from 1 species